rnacentral:rRNA from 1 species
GGUUAAGCGACUAAGCGUACACGGUGGAUGCCCUGGCAGUCAGAGGCGAUGAAGGACGUGCUAAUCUGCGAUAAGCGUCGGUAAGGUGAUAUGAACCGUUAUAACCGGCGAUUUCCGAAUGGGGAAACCCAGUGUGAUUCGUCACACUAUCAUUACGUGAAUACAUAGCGUAAUGAAGCGAACCGGGGGAACUGAAACAUCUAAGUACCCCGAGGAAAAGAAAUCAACCGAGAUUCCCCCAGUAGCGGCGAGCGAACGGGGAGCAGCCCAGAGUCUGAAUCAGCUUGUGUGUUAGUGGAACGGUCUGGAAAGUCCGACGGUACAGGGUGAUAGUCCCGUACACCAAAAUGCACAGGUUGUGAACUCGAAGAGUAGGGCGGGACACGUGGUAUCCUGUCUGAAUAUGGGGGGACCAUCCUCCAAGGCUAAAUACUCCUGACUGACCGAUAGUGAACCAGUACCGUGAGGGAAAGGCGAAAAGAACCCCGGCGAGGGGAGUGAAAAAGAACCUGAAACCGUGUACGUACAAGCAGUGGGAGCCUCUUUAUGGGUGUGACUGCGUACCUUUUGUAUAAUGGGUCAGCGACUUAUAUUCUGUAGCAAGGUUAACCGUAUAGGGGAGCCGAAGGGAAACCGAGUCUUAACUGGGCGUUAAGUUGCAGGGUAUAGACCCGAAACCCGGUGAUCUAGCCAUGGGCAGGUUGAAGGUUGGGUAACACUAACUGGAGGACCGAACCGACUAAUGUUGAAAAAUUAGCGGAUGACUUGUGGCUGGGGGUGAAAGGCCAAUCAAACCGGGAGAUAGCUGGUUCUCCCCGAAAGCUAUUUAGGUAGCGCCUCGUGAACUCAUCUUCGGGGGUAGAGCACUGUUUCGGCUAGGGGGUCAUCCCGACUUACCAACCCGAUGCAAACUGCGAAUACCGAAGAAUGUUAUCACGGGAGACACACGGCGGGUGCUAACGUCCGUCGUGAAGAGGGAAACAACCCAGACCGCCAGCUAAGGUCCCAAAGUCAUGGUUAAGUGGGAAACGAUGUGGGAAGGCACAGACAGCCAGGAUGUUGGCUUAGAAGCAGCCAUCAUUUAAAGAAAGCGUAAUAGCUCACUGGUCGAGUCGGCCUGCGCGGAAGAUGUAACGGGGCUAAACCAUGCACCGAAGCUGCGGCAGCGACACUAUGUGUUGUUGGGUAGGGGAGCGUUCUGUAAGCCGUUGAAGGUGUAUCGUGAGGUAUGCUGGAGGUAUCAGAAGUGCGAAUGCUGACAUAAGUAACGAUAAUGCGGGUGAAAAACCCGCACGCCGGAAGACCAAGGGUUCCUGUCCAACGUUAAUCGGGGCAGGGUGAGUCGACCCCUAAGGCGAGGCCGAAAGGCGUAGUCGAUGGGAAACAGGUUAAUAUUCCUGUACUUGGUGUUACUGCGAAGGGGGGACGGAGAAGGCUAUGUUAGCCGGGCGACGGUUGUCCCGG